UACGAGGGGUCCUAGCGUUGCUCGGAAUCAUUGGGCGUAAAGCGGAUGUAGGCGGACUGCCAAGUCAGAUGUGAAAGCCCCGGGCUCAACCCGGGAAGUGCAUUUGAUACUAGCGGUCUUGAGUGCAGUAGAGGAAGGUAGAAUACCAAGUGUAGUGGUGAAAUACGUAGAUAUUUGGUGGAACACCGGUGGCGAAGGCGGCCUUCUGGACUGUCACUGACGCUCAGAUCCGAAAGCGUGGGGAUCAAAC
rnacentral:rRNA from 1 species